rnacentral:rRNA from 1 species
AACAUGUAGGUAUCUGCCCUUUGGCCUGGAAUAACACGAGGAAACUUGUGCUAAUACCGGAUAAGUCUUUACAGAGAAAGCUUUAUGCACCAUUGGAUGAGCCUGCACUUGAUUAGUUUGUUGGUGGGGUAAUGGCCUACCAAGACUGUGAUCAAUAGCUGAUUUGAGAGGAUGAUCAGCCACAUUGGGACUGAGACACGGCCCAAACUCCUACGGGAGGCAGCAGUGGGGAAUCUUGCACAAUGGAGGAAACUCUGAUGCAGCGAUGCCGCGUGAGUGAAGAAGGCCCUUGGGUUGUAAAGCUCUUUCGUCGGGGAAGAAAAUGACUGUACCCGAAUAAGAAGGUCCGGCUAACUUCGUGCCAGCAGCCGCGGUAAUACGAAGGGACCUAGCGUAGUUCGGAAUUACUGGGCUUAAAGAGUUCGUAGGUGGUUAAAAAAGUUGGUGGUGAAAUCCCAGAGCUUAACUCUGGAACUGCCAUCAAAACUUUUUAGCUAGAGUAUGAUAGAGGAGAGCAGAAUUUCUAGUGUAGAGGUGAAAUUCGUAGAUAUUAGAAAGAAUACCAAUUGCGAAGGCAGCUUUCUGGAUCAUUACUGACACUGAGGAACGAAAGCAUGGGUAGCGAAGAGGAUUAGAUACCCUCGUAGUCCAUGCCGUAAACGAUGUGUGUUAGACGUUGGAAAUUUAUUUUCAGUGUCGCAGCGAAAGCGAUAAACACACCGCCUGGGGG